ACCAGCACCGCGCCCCCGUUGUUCAUUUGCUCCAACGGACGGACGGCGCACCAAUUCCUUAGUCCGUACACACGUACAUCGAUCGGUCGCCAUGUCUGCCGCGACCGCUUGCAUGCCCCUGGUCCCUCCGCCUCCGUCGUCUCCUCGCCACGGAUCGACCGGGAAGCCGGCAAUGGCGGCCGCCGAGGUCGGCGAGAGGCGGAAGCCCGGUGGCAUGGAGACUGACAUGACGACUCAGAGCAGCCAUGGCGGCGAGGAGCGGCGUGGCGAGGGCAACGGCGAUGGCGAAGUGACGAUGAGCGAGCCGCGGGCGGUGGUGCGGACGCUCGCGUGCGAGCGCAAGCCCUACGUCGCGGGCUUCGCGCACUGGCGGAGCAUCGGCAGGCCUGAGCUGCCGGAGAUGGAUCCUAUCCUUUCUUUCGACGAGUUCGAGUUUUCCGCGCCAGCUGCAUUUCUUGAUCAUCCUCACAGAGGGUUUGAGAACGUCACCUAUAUGCUCGAGGGAGGCGUCAGUUACCAUGACUUUUCAGGGCACAAGGGCACCAUCAACGAAGGAGAUGUUCAGUGGCUGACGGCGGGGCGCGGCGUCGUGCACGCGGAGGUGCCCGCCGGCAAUGGCGUGCAGCGGGGCAUCAACAUCUGGGUCAACCUCUCCGCCAACGACAAGAUGGUGGAGCCGAGGUACCAGGGCCUGGCGAGCCACGGCAUCCCCGCCGCCGCCACGGGCGACGGCGGCGUCUCCGUCAAGGUCAUCGCGGGCGAGUGCCUGGGCGCGCGCUCCCCGCUGCGGCCGCGCACCCCGGCGCUGUGCCUCGACGUCGCCCUGCGGCCCGGCGCGCGCCUCCGCCAGCCCGUCCCGCGCGAGUGGAGCGCGUGCGCCUACGUCAUCGGCGGCGAGGCCGUAUUCGGCGACGCCUCCGCUGGGGCGCGCACGCUCGUCGUGUUCGGCGCCGACGGCGACGGCGUGGACGUGCGGGCCAAGGACGGGCUCGCCGCGGCGGCGGGCGCGAGGGUGAUGCUCGUGGCGGCGCGGCCGCACGGCGAGGCGGUGGUGCGGGACGGACCCUUCGUCAUGAACACCCGGGAGGAGGUGGAGCAGGCGCGGGAAGACUUCCGCCGACGCCGCAACGGCUUCGAGAUGGCUGACGGCUGGACCUCCGACCACGCUGUGCCACCGCCGCCAUGCGCUGAUACUCUAGGCGUAGAUGGUAUCUAAGAUGUGGAAUUUUGGCCCCCAAAGAAAUGCAGUGCAGCGUAGAAAGUGUUUGCAAUAAGACUGUGGUGUGCCUCGGAAAGGCUUGUGGUGUGCCCCGUGAAGUUUGUACGACCUGAACAUUAAGUGACCUUGGGGUUGCUAAACGAGAGGCUACAUUGCUCAAGAAGUAAGUGUUCCUCUUCCCUGCCUCAAUGGAGAUGUAGACGCUGCCUCAAUGGAGAUGUAGACGUAGAUUCCUUGGGAGCUGAAAUCACUACGUACUAAUGUUUCUUUUUUUUUCAAUUUGUUGAAAUUCUUGCAUUGAACUACCUUUCUAGGGUCUACUCUCGACCUACUUGUUGGAAAGGUAUUGUCCGCAGGUUUUUAGAGAAAAGCAGUAGAAAAGGGUCAUAAACCUUGGAAAUUCACUCGAUCUACUUUUAGUUGAGAUUUGAGUAGUCGAAGUUUAGUUAGGCUAUUUUGUCUUGAGUCUUUGGACAUUUAUUCGAAAUCUCUGGAAGUUUUGGAGAUUCUCAACAAAUUUUCGGAAACUCCGCAAGUUUUAUAGUAAGCUUGUUUAAGUUAUAAUUUUUUAGUUUUGACUA